UUGUGCAAUUCAAUAAGAGUUAGGUUUGUAAGCACAGUUUUCUCCCCUUACCCACAGUUUCUUUAUCUGCAGGUUCAGUUAUCUGUGGUCAAUGGUGGUCUGGAAGCAGUUGAUCCUCCUUCUGAAGGUCAAUAGUAGCCUAAUGCUACAUCACAGUGCUUGUGUCACUCACUUCACUUCAUCUGAUCACAUAGGAUCUUUAUCACCUCACAUCAUCACAAGAAGAAGGCUUGAAGCUGGGGGAUGGAUAUAAGACAAAAAGGAAGGCACUGAGGGCUCUUACAUGACUGGGACUAUUGUGAGCUGGCUUUGUAGUGCUGCAGGCUAGGCAGAAGGUCCUGUGGAGUACUUCUGAGUCUUUGGAGCACCCCUUCCUGAACAACCUAUCACUGAGGGUCUUUGGCCUGCUGUGCUGCCUCACCUGUGAGGCCACUUUAGUCAGCUCUGGCCCUUUAUAUUUCUCAGAUAUGGCCCAGUGUCCAUUUACAAUGUCACUCAAUGUCCAGAAGACCUCAAACAAGCUCAUCAACUGAUCUCUGUGAAGUCUCUCUCAUUAGUACUGAGGCAAAGUCAAGUCACCACAUGGAGCCAAACCUCAGCACUGCAGAAAACUCAGCUAUUCUCUCUGCUGAAAAACUCAUCUUUGUAACGACAAGGCACCUUGGGGCCUUUGAAGCGGCCAGCUUUCCUUGGCAUGGGCCAACAUGGCAGGGAGCAGUGAGAUGACUGCAUCUCGUGUGGAAGGAUCUCUGGAGUAACUUUAGCCCAUUGGGGAUGGAAAGUUUGGGAAUGGUAACAGGGUAAGAAUUAAGACCAAAUGUGCAGGCAGGAAGGCAGACUUCAGUUGUUGGUUGUUCAGAAGGACACUGAGUGCUAGUGCUGAGCUAGAGCAUUGAAAUCUUUAGGUCUGUAUCAGAGAUGUGUUGUUCUUGAUUAGCCACACAAACUGUUUCUUCUGUAGCUUAUUCAUAGUGAAAAUUCAAUCUUAGGCUCCCUGCCAUUGCUAUCAAAUGGAAUAUGCUCAGGGAAUGGAAAUUGAUUUCAAUAGUUGACUAAAUAAAACCCAAUUAAGAAGAUAAAUUUGCUCCCAGGAAAACAUGUGCCAUACAUUCCAGAACAGAAUGACUUACUUUGGAUGGUUUGGCUUAUUCCCAAGUCGCCUUCUCCGUAUUUCCCUAAUUAGGGAAACAGCCUAGAGGAGACUAAAGGGAGAAUGGGUUACCUUUUGUCAGCUUUAAAAGGUCAUUGCAGGCCCAUGAAUUUAAGUCCAUGGAGAGAGGAAAGUGAUGGAGAAAUUCUGAGCUUGGAUGAGGUUUUGUGGUUAGGUGUGAUGCAACAGAGAAUGAGUGUUGGAAGUUAUGUUCUCCAGAUGGCUUCGUGUCUCAGACCAGGCCAGAGAUAUCAUCCAAUUCCCUUGAGCUCCUUGUGUUAAAUAUGUCUGGGAUAGAAAACACAACUAAGUAAGAGAGUGUGGAAGAAGAGCCAAGAUCUGGGAAAUUCCUUUCCAUGUAAUUGGACUCAGCCCUUUUUAGGGGAUUUCUCUGGGCUCCCUGGAACAGGAUUCCUGGAGAGUGAAUGAUCACUCUUACUACAUACGGUCCUGAUUAGGCCACAGCUGGCAAAAGGAAGAGAAGGAACAUCACCUUUGUUGAGAAUCUAUAAUGUAUCCCGUAUUUAGUAUGCAGAUGAUUGAAUGAGGUAAAAUAUAGAGUAGUUUUUAUCCCCAUUUUAACAGAAUGAAGAAAAUGAGUCUAAGUGGUUAAAGUGAGUUAUCCAGGAACUGAAUGGGAAGAUUUGAACUGAAGCAAAUCUUUUGAAUCCCAUGUUCUCUCUAAUACAGUGCCAUUGCAAUAACCUCAUAACCAAAAUAAUAGUUAAUAUAUGUUUAGCACUUUUUACAUUCAAAAAAGUUCUCAGGUUUACUUCCUCAGUAAAUAAGAUAGAUGAAAAUGACAUAGGGAAAGUUAAGAGAUUUGCCUAAAUCACACAGAAAGUUGAGAUCAGAAUCAGAAUGUGGGCCCAAGGGCCUGGUGAUUCUUUCAGAGACUUGUUCUUCAGUUCUAACCUUACUUGGAAAAUUUGAAGAUUAGGCACCCAAGUUGUCAGUCUUGUAUGGCAAUUUCUCAUCUCAGCUCUUACUUAAGCUAUAUUACUCAAGAAAUAUGGUGCUUUGAAGGAGUGACAUGGUGAGCAUUUACCGGACCAACUUGUCCUUUUUCUUACAGAAGAGGCUGUGUUUUUCUGGAGUGUCUUUUCUCCUUGUAGAGCUUGAUUCUGGUACCGUGUUACCCGGGUAGAGGACAGACUGCUGGUCAGAGCUGCUGCGGCCUGCUGCGUAGGCUGUAAACCACACGCCUAGACUGA